rnacentral:rRNA from 1 species
UCGGGAAUUUUGGACAAUGGGCGCAAGCCUGAUCCAGCCAUGCCGCGUGCAGGAUGAAGGCCUUCGGGUUGUAAACUGCUUUUGUACGGAACGAAAAGGCUCUUUCUAAUAAAGAGGGCCCAUGACGGUACCGUAAGAAUAAGCACCGGCUAACUACGUGCCAGCAGCCGCGGUAAUACGUAGGGUGCGAGCGUUAAUCGGAAUUACUGGGCGUAAAGCGUGCGCAGGCGGUUCUAUAAGACAGAUGUGAAAUCCCCGGGCUCAACCUGGGAAUGGCAUUUGUGACUGUAGAGCUAGAGUACGGUAGAGGGGGAUGGAAUUCCGCGUGUAGCAGUGAAAUGCGUAGAUAUGCGGAGGAACACCGAUGGCGAAGGCAAUCCCCUGGACCUGUACUGACGCUCAUGCACGAAAGCGUGGGGAGCAAACAGGAUUAGAUACCCUAGUAGUCCCUGAGCGGGCUGGCAAGGCGCAU